AUUGAACGCUGGCGGCAUGCCUUACACAUGCAAGUCGAACGGUAACGGCCCUUCGGGUGCCGACGAGUGGCGAACGGGUGAGUAAUACAUCGGAACGUGCCCGAUCGUGGGGGAUAACGGGGCGAAACCUUUGCUAAUACCCCAUACGAUCUACGGCUAAAAGCGGGGGCCCGCAGGGCCUUGCCCGGCCGCAGCGGCCGAUGGCAGAUUAGGUAGGUGGUGGGAUAAAAGCUUACCAAGCCGACGACCUGUAGCUGGUCUGCGAGGAUGAUCAGCAACACUGGGACUGAGACACGGCCCAGACUCCUGCGGGAGGCAGCAGUGGGGAAUUUUGGACAAUGGGCGCAAGCCUGAUCCAGCCAUGCCGCGUGCAGGAUGAAGGCCUUCGGGUUGUAAACUGCUUUUGUACGGAACGAAAAGCCUUCUUUUAAUGCAGGAGGGUCAUGACGGUACCGUAAGAAUAAGCACCGGCUAACUACGUG
rnacentral:rRNA from 1 species